rnacentral:tRNA from 1 species
AUUUACAUAAUUUAUAAGUAGAAUAUUGCAUUGAAGCUGCAAAAGAGGUUAAAUAAUCUGUAAAUA